rnacentral:hammerhead_ribozyme from 1 species
AUCCAGUUGGCGAGUUCGAAAUAGGACGAAACGCGUGGCCUGGAU